rnacentral:tRNA from 1 species
GCUUUAAGUAGUUUAACCUAAAACAUUGGUCUUGUAAACCAAAAAAGAAAUUUAAUUUUCCUAAAGCA